rnacentral:rRNA from 1 species
GCAUAGAUAUUACACAGUACACCAAUUGUGAAGGCAGCUUACUAAGCUGAACUUGACGCUGAGGCACGAAAGCGUGGGGAGCGAACAGGAUUAGAUACCCUGGUAGUCCACGCUGUAAACUAUGAUCACUCGCUGUUGGCGAUACACUGUCAGCGGCUAAGCGAAAGCAUUAAGUGAUCCACCUGGGGAGUACGUCCGCAAGGAUGAAACUCAAAGGAAUUGACGGGGGCCCGCACAAGCGGAGGAACAUGUGGUUUAAUUCGAUGAUACGCGAGGAACCUUACCUGGGCUUAAAUGCAGAACGACCAGUCGGGAAACUGACCUUCCUUCGGGCGAACUGCAAGGUGCUGCAUGGUUGUCGUCAGCUCGUGCCGUGAGGUGUCGGGUUAAGUCCCAUAACGAGCGCAACCCCUAUUGUUAGUUACCAGCGAGUAAUGUCGGGGACUCUAACGAAACUGCCGGUGUAAACCGUGAGGAAGGUGGGGAUGACGUCAAAUCAGCACGGCCCUUAUGUCCAGGGCUACACACGUGUUACAAUGGCCAGUACAAAGGGCAGCUACCACGCGAGUGGAUGCUAAUCUCUAAAGCUGGUCUCAGUUCGGAUUGAAGUCUGCAACUCGACUUCAUGAAGGUGGAUUCGCUAGUAAUCGCGCAUCAGCAAUGGUGCGGUGAAUACGUUCCCGGGCCUUGUACACACCGCCCAUCAAGCCAUGGGAGUCGGGGGUACCUGAAGUCCGUAACCGAAAGGAG